AUUGAACGCUGGCGGCAUGCCUUACACAUGCAAGUCGAACGGUAACGGGCCUUCGGGUGCCGACGAGUGGCGAACGGGUGAGUAAUGCAUCGGAACGUACCUUUCAGUGGGGGAUAACGUAGCGAAAGUUACGCUAAUACCGCAUAUUCUGUGAGCAGGAAAGCAGGGGAUCGCAAGACCUUGCGCUGAUUGAGCGGCCGAUGUCAGAUUAGCUAGUUGGUGAGGUAAAGGCUCACCAAGGCGACGAUCUGUAGCGGGUCUGAGAGGAUGAUCCGCCACACUGGAACUGAGACACGGUCCAGACUCCUACGGGAGGCAGCAGUGGGGAAUUUUGGACAAUGGGCGAAAGCCUGAUCCAGCCAUGCCGCGUGAGUGAAGAAGGCCUUCGGUUGUAAGCGUCUUUCUAGGUGGAAGGAAAGACGG
rnacentral:rRNA from 1 species